rnacentral:rRNA from 1 species
AAUUGAAGCAGAGGACAGUGGCGGACGGGUGAGUAACGCGUGAGGAACCUGCCUUUCAGAGGGGGACAACAGUUGGAAACGACUGCUAAUACCGCAUGACGCAUUUUGAUCGCAUGGUCGAAAUGCCAAAGAUUUAUCGCUGAAAGAUGGCCUCGCGUCUGAUUAGCUAGUUGGUGAGGUAACGGCCCACCAAGGCGACGAUCAGUAGCCGGACUGAGAGGUUGAACGGCCACAUUGGGACUGAGAUACGGCCCAGACUCC